rnacentral:rRNA from 1 species
GAUGAACGCUGGCGGCGUGCCUAAUACAUGCAGGUCGAGCGAACGGACGAGAAGCUUGCUUCUCUGAUGUUAGCGGCGGACGGGUGAGUAACACGUGGAUAACCUACCUAUAAGACUGGGAUAACUUCGGGAAACCGGAGCUAAUACCGGAUGAUAUUUUGAACCGCAUGGUUCAAAAGUGAAAGACGGUCUUGCUGUCACUUAUAGAUGGAUCCGCGCUGCAUUAGCUAGUUGGUAAGGUAACGGCUUACCAAGGCAACGAUGCAUAGCCGACCUGAGAGGGUGAUCGGCCACACUGGAACUGAGACACGGUCCAGACUCCUACGGGAGGCAGCAGUAGGAAAUCUUCCGCAAUGGGCGAAAGCCUGACGGAGCAACGCCGCGUGAGUGAUGAAGGUCUUCGGAUCGUAAAACUCUGUUAUUAGGGAAGAACAUAUGUGUAAGUAACUGUGCACAUCUUGACGGUACCUAAUCAGAAAGCCACGGCUAACUACGUG